AUUGAACGCUGGCGGCAUGCCUUACACAUGCAAGUCGAACGGUAGCGGGCCUUCGGGUGCCGACGAGUGGCGAACGGGUGAGUAAUGUAUCGGAACGUACCUUUCAGUGGGGGAUAACGUAGCGAAAGUUACGCUAAUACCGCAUAUUCUGUGAGCAGGAAAGCAGGGGAUCGCAAGACCUUGCGCUGAUUGAGCGGCCGAUAUCAGAUUAGCUAGUUGGUGAGGUAAAAGCUCACCAAGGCGACGAUCUGUAGCGGGUCUGAGAGGAUGAUCCGCCACACUGGAACUGAGACACGGUCCAGACUCCUACGGGAGGCAGCAGUGGGGAAUUUUGGACAAUGGGGGAAACCCUGAUUCAGCCAUGCCGCGCGAGUGAAGAAGGCCUUCGGGUUGUAAAGCUCUUUCGGCCGGGAAGAAAUCGUAUCAGCUAAUACCUGGUGCGGAUGACGGUACCGGCAUAAGAAGCACCGGCUAACUACGUGCCAGCCGCCGCAGUAAUAC
rnacentral:rRNA from 1 species